rnacentral:rRNA from 1 species
UACAGAGGUCCCAAGCGUUGUUCGGAUUCAUUGGGCGUAAAGGGUGCGUAGGUGGCAUGGUAAGUCGGGUGUGAAAUCUCCACGCUCAACGUGGAGGGGUCAGCUGAUACUGCUGUGACUUGAGUCCGGUAGGGGAGUGUGGAAUUCCCGGUGUAGCGGUGAAAUGCGCAGAUAUCGGGAGGAACACCAGUAGCGAAGGCGGCACUCUGGGCCGGUACUGACGCUGAGGAGCGAAAGCGUGGGGAGCAAACAGGG